GCCCGAGUGGUGAAACUGGUAGACGCGCUAGACUCAAAAUCUAGUAAGGGUAACCUUGUGUCGGUUCAAGUCCGACUUCGGGCACCA
rnacentral:tRNA from 3 species